rnacentral:rRNA from 1 species
AUUGAACGCUGGCGGCAGGCCUAACACAUGCAAGUCGAACGGUAACAGGAAACAGCUUGCUGUUUCGCUGACGAGUGGCGGACGGGUGAGUAAUGUCUGGGAAACUGCCUGAUGGAGGGGGAUAACUACUGGAAACGGUAGCUAAUACCGCAUAACGUCGCAAGACCAAAGAGGGGGACCUUCGGGCCUCCUGCCAUCGGAUGUGCCCAGAUGGGAUUAGCUAGUAGGUGGGGUAACGGCUCACCUAGGCGACGAUCCCUAGCUGGUCUGAGAGGAUGACCAGCCACACUGGAACUGAGACACGGUCCAGACUCCUACGGGAGGCAGCAGUGGGGAAUAUUGCACAAUGGGCGCAAGCCUGAUGCAGCCAUGCCGCGUGUAUGAAGAAGGCCUUCGGGUUGUAAAGUACUUUCAGCGGGGAUGAAGGGAGUAAAGUUAAUACCUUUGCUCAUUGACGUUACCCGCAGAAGAAGCACCGGCUAACUCCGUG